rnacentral:rRNA from 1 species
AAGUCGUAACAAGGUUUCCGUAGGUGAACCUGCGGAAGGAUCAUUAAAAAAUUUCAAUCAAGAAUUUUUUCUUGUUUUGAAUAUCCAACCUUUUUAUCCACCUUUAAAUCUUUGUCUGAAAACCUUUCUUAUUUCGAAGGAAAUAGAAAAUUUUAACCAAAACAACUUUUAACAAUGGAUCUCUUGGCUCUCGCAUCGAUGAAGAACGCAGCGAAAUGCGAUAAGUAAUGUGAAUUGCAGAAUUCAGUGAAUCAUCGAAUCUUUGAACGCAUAUUGCGCUCCCUGGUAUUCCGGGGAGCAUGCCUGUUUGAGAAUUGGAACAAAAAACGGUCCCUCCCCUCUUUCAAGAGGUUGGGGGGUAGUCCGUAAGAAUAUGAGCGUUCUCAGCACGACAUCUUUUCUCGGAAAGCUUGAACUGACAGAGUCGCUUAAAAUAGAUGGUCUGUGGGCUAGGAGUGUAAGCCAAACGGGAUCAGUGUAAUAUGUAACCUCUGAAAAGGGGCACUACAACCUUUUUCACUGUUCCUUUUAUGCUCCGUUGAUCCGGCAGACCCAUUUUAUAGUUUCUCAGAGGCUUUUUUCUUUUCUUGUUGAAUUUCUGAACUUUCUUUAUACUCUUUGAGAAUGGAGGAAGGAAGGAAAAACAGGCGAGAAAGAAAAAAGAAUCUAUUAAAUAAUCUCAAAUCAGGUAGGAAUACCNGCUGAACUUAAGCAUAUUAAUAAGCGGAGGAAAAGAAACUAACAAGGAUUCCCCUAGUAACGGCGAGUGAAGCGGGAUGAGCUCAAUAUUGAAAUCUGGGUAGUUUACUACUCCGAAUUGUUAUCUAUGGGCAGAUGUUUUGGGCACAGCGUUGGUAUAAAUCCUUUGGAACAGGGUAUCACGGAGGGUGAAAGUCCCGUCUUUGACUGACAAGCUGUUUUGCCUGGUAGAAAUCUGAUCCCUCGAGUCGCAUUGUUUGGGAAUGCAGUGCUAAUUGGGUGGUAAAUUUCAUCUAAAGCUAAAUAAUGGCGAGAGACCGAUAGCGAACAAGUACCGUGAGGGAAAGAUGAAAAGAACUUUGAAAAGAGAGUUAAAUAGUACGUGAAAUUGUUAAAAGGGAAACGCAUGAAAUUAGUAAUCUCUUCAACGGAUCAGCCAUUUGCUGUUCGGAUGGUUUAGCCCUAUGCUGGUUUACGCCGGAUGUUGGGUUGGGCAAUUUGAGCAGCUUGCGGUGCACUUCGUUGUUGAGGUGUCAACAUCAGUUUAGAUGGAUGGAUACACUCUUACGGAAGGUAGCCACCUUGGUGGUGUUUAGCCGUGAUGAGCACACAUCCGCUUAGACUGAGGACUGCAGUGCACCCUUCGGGGCAGGCCUGCUUGGUGCUGCUGCGUGUGUUUGAUCAGGCCAACUUGUUGACUGGUCUUAUCCGCGUUGUAUUGCUGAGUUCUGGCACAUUUGCACUUUGGAUGUUGACAAAAUGAUUUUAUACGACC